UACAGAGGGGGCAAGCGUUGUUCGGAAUUACUGGGCGUAAAGCGUGCGCAGGCGGUUCGUUAUGUCUGAUGUGAAAGCCCCGGGCUCAACCUGGGAAUGGCAUUGGAAACUGGCGAGCUUGAGUGUGGCAGAGGGGGGUGGAAUUCCGCGUGUAGCAGUGAAAUGCGUAGAGAUGCGGAGGAACACCGAUGGCGAAGGCAGCCCCCUGGGCUAACACUGACGCUCAGGCACGAAAGCGUGGGGAGCAAACAGG
rnacentral:rRNA from 1 species